GGAGUCUACUUGGCAGUUGGAGUUGUGGGUGGAGUCCGGCUCCCGUCGGAGUCCGGACGAGGUCUGCCUGCAGUCGGAGUUGGAGGAGACUCGCGAGGGUUAAUCCCAUUGAGAACUUCGGCUGAGGGUAUUUUAUACCCAACACAUCCUAUGGGUUUAACCCCUUCAGGUGGGUCAACUAAUGUCUACACAUCAUUGACCUUCAUGGACUCUAUGUUAGAUUUUAUGGCUUUAAGCUACUUAUC
rnacentral:lncRNA from 1 species